rnacentral:rRNA from 1 species
UUCGGAAUUACUGGGCGUAAAGGGCUCGUAGGUGGCCAACUAAGUCAGACGUGAAAUCCCUCGGCUUAACCGGGGAACUGCGUCUGAUACUGGAUGGCUUGAGUUUGGGAGAGGGAUGCGGAAUUCCAGGUGUAGCGGUGAAAUGCGUAGAUAUCUGGAGGAACACCGGUGGCGAAGGCGGCAUCCUGGACCGGUAUUGACGCUGAGGCGCGAAAGCUAGGGGAGCAAACGGG